UGUCUAAUUAUUAUAGCUGAUAUAAAACAAUGAAAACAUUCCGAACUCAUUUUGAUAAAAUAUCAAGCGCUUAUGGUAGCAUUUAAUGUGAGAGUAAGAAAUAAUUAGACAA
rnacentral:rRNA from 1 species